rnacentral:rRNA from 1 species
UACGUAGGGUGCGAGCGUUGCCCGGAUUUAUUGGGCGUAAAGAGCGUGUAGGCGGCUAGGUAGGUCCGUUGUGAAAACUCGAGGCUCAACCUCGAGACGCCGGUGGAAACCAUCUAGCUAGAGUCCGGAAGAGGAGAGUGGAAUUCCUGGUGUAGCGGUGAAAUGCGCAGAUAUCAGGAAGAACACCCGUGGCGAAGGCGGCUCUCUGGGACGUGACUGACGCUGAGACGCGAAAGCGUGGGGAGCGAACAGG